rnacentral:rRNA from 1 species
GGGGCCCGCACAAGCGGUGGAGCAUGUGGUUAAUUCGAAGCAACGCGAAGAACCUUACCAGGUCUUGACAUCCCGAUGCUAUUUCUAGAGAUAGAAAGUACUUCGGUACAUCGGUGACAGGUGGUGCAUGGUUGUCGUCAGCUCGUGUCGUGAGAUGUUGGGUUAAGUCCCGCAACGAGCGCAACCCCUAUUGUUAGUUGCCAUCAUUCAGUUGGGCACUCUAGCGAGACUGCCGGUAAUAAACCGGAGGAAGGUGGGGAUGACGUCAAAUCAUCAUGCCCCUUAUGACCUGGGCUACACACGUGCUACAAUGGUUGGUACAACGAGUUGCGAGUCGGUGACGGCGAGCUAAUCUCUUAAAGCCAAUCUCAGUUCGGAUUGUAGGCUGCAACUCGCCUACAUGAAGUCGGAAUCGCUAGUAAUCGCGGAUCAGCACGCCGCGGUGAAUACGUUCCCGGGCCUU